UUUGUUUUGUUGUUAUGAAGGUGUAACUCUCACAAAUAAACGGACAAAAUAAUAUACAAUUUGAAGUUCAAAUACGUUUUGUUGUUGUUAGCUACGAGUUUAUAUUGAACAGGGUGCCUGCUUUUAACGGGCUAUUACCCUAUUGGCGUUCACGCAGUAAGGCUGGCAAUCCUACUAGACGCCAUCUGCAGAAGUCGUAUAGAAGAAGAUGAGGAGGAAACAACUCAACACUUCCUUCUUGACUGUCACGCGUUUGGGAGGUCAAGACUUUAACACGUGGCAUUCCUUUGGACAUCCCACCGAAUUGGCGGGAGUGGAAAUUAAACGCUUGUGCAAUUUUGUAUUGGCUACUAAGCGUUUUGCGAAUUUAUAGUUCGAACACAGGAGUUCUUCUUUUCUAUGACAUCACAAAAGACUACGUAUUGUAGUCUAUGUGCGAUCUUUGGAUCAGCCAUCUAAACUAACCUAACCUAGGAUGCCUGCAGAGUGCACGCUCAAAACCGAGCCCAGCGCAUUUUCCCAUUUACGCAACACGCGAAUUUACGCUCGGCUCGGCUUUGAGCAUUCACUUUGCGGACACACUUAGUAUUUGACCAGUUAAGGAGGGAGCCUGCUUUAGAGGCUUCAAAAAAUCUAUAUUUUCAAGGAUUUUUUUUGGAAAGGAAAGAAAUGUCUGAUUGAAAUAAAACUUUUAGGAUUUAUUCUUAUAUAUUUGAAGAGUCUUUUUUUUUUUUAUUAUACAUACAUUAGAUAUUCUUCAUGUUUGAAAAAAUUUACGGAGGCGCCUCGAGUGUGCAAUUUCUGUGUGGCGGGCAAGAUGCAGGACGCAAUUUUCAUCCGAAACAAAAAACAAAAGAAAUUUUUAAUUUUCAAUAGUGUAAUUCCUAGGUGAACCAAGAAAAUUCAACAAAAAGUGAAAAAUACAACAAUUUU